rnacentral:lncRNA from 10 species
AGGCAAGAUCGCGCCACUGCAUUCCAGCCUGGGUGACAGAGCGAGACUCCAUCUCAAAAAAAAAAAAAAAAGUGUCACAUAGUGAUAGAGCUAGAACUAAACAUUGGGACUUCUAAUUUCUUGCCCAGUGUUCUUUCCAGGGAAUCAGCUAUUCCAAGUUUGUGGUAGAUUCACAUAGCAUCCUUGUAAUAGGUCAGGAAACACUAUUGCUUUGGAGUGCUUCUAUUUGUCAUCCAGAUAAAAUGUCUUCAGUACCAAACAAUGCCAGUUUCCCAAAUAUGGAGCUUUUCUUUAAUUCCCCACUUUGUUAAUUUGGGAAAGGCUUUUUAGGUAGCUUGCUAUAUGCAUAGCAGAUUUAGUGAUCUCAUUGUCAUUGUGCUUUCCAUUAGUAGGCUGAUAAAUGACCUCAGGUUUAUGAUUGGAAUGUCUCACUACACCAGUUCUGUAAAGCUAGCCACAACAAACCAUGUGUCUCUUUAAUAUGAAAGAAGCCCAUCAGAUUUAUGAUCAUAUUUAUCUGGGCUAAUAGACCUAUUUGGAUUAUUUGAUAGAUUCCACUCAGAUUUUGUGGAAGUCACAUUUUAUUCUCUUAGGGAGUAUUGGAAUCUGAUUUACAAGUAAACUCAGUGUCAAAGAUCUGAGAAACUUUGCAGUACUGAUUGUUUUUGUAAGGCCAACUGCAAGUUAUUUUUGUUAAUGAAGCAAAGCAGUAUUGCAGCAGCAUAUUUGAAGUUGUAUAUCAAAAAAUAUUGGGGUUUAGUCAUAGAGGGCAUUUUUUGAGGCAUAGUGGUUAAGAACGCAGACUUUAGAGUCAACUGCUUAGUCACCUCCUGGAUCUAUCACAUACUGUGCAGCCUUGGACAAGUUAUGUAAUCUCUCUGUAACUGUUUCCUUAUCUGUGAAAUGGGAAUGAUAAUAGUACUGGUGUCAGGUAUUGUUGGGAAGUUUAAAUAAGUUAAUAUUUUCAAAGCACCCAAAACACUGUCUGGUAUGUGCUAAACAUCAUAUAAGUGUUUGAUACUAUUAUUCUGACACUUUCUCUCUCUUUUUUUUUUUUUUUUUUUUGAGACGGCGUCUUGCUCUGUUGUCCAGGCUGGAGUGCAGUGGCAUAACCAUGGCUCACUGUAGCCUCAAUCUCCUGGGCUCAAGUGAUCCUCCCACCUCAGCAUCCUGAGUAAUUGGGACUACAGGUGUGCGCCACCAUGCCUGGCUAAUUUUUAAAUUUAGAGAUAGAGUCUUGCUGUGUUGCCAAGGCUGGUCUUG